UUUUUUUGGGUAAAAUUGGCUUUUAUAUUACUCUCACGUGAGUACAACCUAUCAAAUCAAAAAGAGAAAGUGAUACAAAGAAAAAGAUAUAUCUGCAGCACUCGUCCAGAUGAACUCCUCGGAGUACCGAGCAAUAAAGAAGGCGAUCCAAUCUGCCGCACUGUUCGCUUCUCGAUACACAUGUGCCGCAUGUAAAGAUCCUAUCCUCCUAACCAG
rnacentral:lncRNA from 1 species